UGCAAGGAAUGUGUGGAUUGACAUAACAAUCUAGAGGUGUCCUAUGUUCAGAAUCUAUCACCUGUUGCUAAUUUACUUAUACCCAACAUCCACUGCUUUUUAUCCAAAUAAAUUCCGUCCAUCUUGCAAUCUUUAUGAUGUCCAGUAAAGCAAUAAGUGGUAGCAGUAAAGGGAACAUCCCAGGGUGGGGAGCAUGCCUCCCUCUCCUGUUCUCUUUCCAGGCUUGAAAGGCAGGAGGCACUACUCAGGAAUACACAGUCCUCGUUUCUCAGCUGACAGGCUAAGGAUCCCUCUGCUCUUAUGUGAAACUCACAUCUUUCUCUUCCUCCUCCUGUCCACCCCCAAAGCCCAUUUUGUACAGAGGAGAGAAAGAAUCUGUUCAGCACAAUUAAACCACCUACACACAGACUUACCAAGCAGAAAACAAAGAAUAAGGAAGAAAACAUCCGCCACCACCUGAGAAAUUGUCUGAUAACAAAUCGGUCACCAGCUAUGGGAUGGGGUGUGGUGCAAGUGCCUCUCCAGAUACAGAGCCAUGGCUCCCGUCUCCUUCCAAAUCUGAAUGAUAAAACCUUAU
rnacentral:lncRNA from 10 species